CUGCGGGCUCCCCGAGCUCCAGCUAGGGGUAGAGGCGGGGCCUGUGGAGGGCUCGCCCCUAGCCCCGCCUCUUUCUCUGAAAUACCAGAUUAAACAGCUGACCUGUGUCCAAAAGGAGGCUACAAGUGGAAAAAGCCUGACCUUUCAACUCAGAGAGACUUGGAUUCCAAACUCAGUUCCUGCAUUUACAGAUACGUGCUUUUCAGCAUGUUUCCUAACCUUUUUGUGUCUCAGUUUCCAUCCUGUAAAGAAAGAUCAUAAUAAAGACUAGUGAGAAAAUGUAAAGCAUCUUUCAUAUAGCUAGGUGUGAUGAUUAAGUUUAAUUGUCAAGCUGACUGGCUUGGGAGCCACUUAGGGGAUUAGUAAAGCAUACUUGUGAGAGUGUUUGGGUAGGUCAUGGAGGUAUGACCUUGAGGUCUAUACCUGGUUCCUGGCUCCUUGCUCUCUGGUGCCGUUCCCCUGCUCUCCUUCCUGGCUGCUAGGAACUACUAGCUUUGCUCUGCCACAUUCUUCCACCAUGGUAUUUCUGCCUUGGAACCAGCUAGCCAUGGACUGAACCUUCUGAAGCCAUAAGCCAAACUAAACUUCCCCUCUUUAAAUUGUGCUUGUCAGGUAUUUUGUACCACCAACAGGACAGG
rnacentral:lncRNA from 1 species